rnacentral:rRNA from 2 species
GGGUUGUGAGGUUAAGCGACCAAGCGUACACGGUGGAUGCCCUGGCAGUCAGAGGCGAUGAAGGACGUGCUAAUCUGCGAAAAGCGCCGGUAAGGUGAUAUGAACCGUUAUAACCGGCGAUGUCCGAAUGGGGAAACCCAGUGUGACUCGUCACACUAUCAUUAACUGAAUCCAUAGGUUAAUGAGGCGAACCGGGGGAACUGAAACAUCUAAGUACCCCGAGGAAAAGAAAUCAACCGAGAUUCCCCCAGUAGCGGCGAGCGAACGGGGAGCAGCCCAGAGCCUGAAUCAGCAUAUGUGUUAGUGGAAGCGUCUGGAAAGGCGCGCGAUACAGGGUGACAGCCCCGUACACAAAAGCGCAUAUGCUGUGAGCUCGAUGAGUAGGGCGGGACACGUGGUAUCCUGUCUGAAUAUGGGGGGACCAUCCUCCAAGGCUAAAUACUCCUGACUGACCGAUAGUGAACCAGUACCGUGAGGGAAAGGCGAAAAGAACCCCGGCGAGGGGAGUGAAACAGAACCUGAAACCGUGUACGUACAAGCAGUGGGAGCCCCACCACCAAAGCGUUUCGCUUUGCGUGGUGCGCAAAAUGCGUAACGACAGCACGAUUGCGGUUAACGGAGCGUAAGCGACGUUCAACACAAGAAUCAGGCAGUGGAGCGUUUUGGGGUGGGGUGACUGCGUACCUUUUGUAUAAUGGGUCAGCGACUUAUAUUCUGUAGCAAGGUUAACCGUAUAGGGGAGCCGGAGGGAAACCGAGUCUUAACCGGGCGUUAAGUUGCAGGGUAUAGACCCGAAACCCGGUGAUCUAGCCAUGGGCAGGUUGAAGGUUGGGUAACACUAACUGGAGGACCGAACCGACUAAUGUUGAAAAAUUAGCGGAUGACCUGUGGCUGGGGGUGAAAGGCCAAUCAAACCGGGAGAUAGCUGGUUCUCCCCGAAAGCUAUUUAGGUAGCGCCUCGUGAACUCAUCUCCGGGGGUAGAGCACUGUUUCGGCCAGGGGGCCAUCCCGGCUUACCAACCCGAUGCAAACUGCGAAUACCGGAGAAUGUUAUCACGGGAGACACACGGCGGGUGCUAACGUCCGUCGUGAAGAGGGAAACAACCCAGACCGCCAGCUAAGGUCCCAAAGUCAUGGUUAAGUGGGAAACGAUGUGGGAAGGCCCAGACAGCCAGGAUGUUGGCUUAGAAGCAGCCAUCAUUUAAAGAAAGCGUAAUAGCUCACUGGUCGAGUCGGCCUGCGCGGAAGAUGUAACGGGGCUAAACCAUGCACCGAAGCUGCGGCAGCGAACGUAUCACUUAAAGCGAUUCAGCGGAUGACGAUUGACGGAGCGAAGCGACGUCAAAGCGUUUUACAACGUCGAGUCGGUUUAAGGAUACGUUCGUUGGGUAGGGGAGCGUUCUGUAAGCCUGCGAAGGUGUGUCGUGAGGCAUGCUGGAGGUAUCAGAAGUGCGAAUGCUGACAUAAGUAACGAUAAUGCGGGUGAAAAACCCGCACGCCGGAAGACCAAGGGUUCCUGUCCAACGUUAAUCGGGGCAGGGUGAGUCGACCCCUAAGGCGAGGCCGAAAGGCGUAGUCGAUGGGAAACAGGUUAAUAUUCCUGUACCUGGUGUUACUGCGAAGGGGGGACGGAGAAGGCUAUGUUGGCCGGGCGACGGUUGUCCCGGUUUAAGCGUGUAGGCUGGUUUUCCAGGCAAAUCCGGAAAAUCAAGGCUGAGGCGUGAUGACGAGGCACUACGGUGCUGAAGCAACAAAUGCCCUGCUUCCAGGAAAAGCCUCUAAGCCUCAGGUAACAUCAGAUCGUACCCGAAACCGACACAGGUGGUCAGGUAGAGAAUACCAAGGCGCUUGAGAGAACCCGGGUGAAGGAACUAGGCAAAAUGGUGCCGUAACUUCGGGAGAAGGCACGCUGACACGUAGGUGAAGCGGUUUACCCGUGGAGCUGAAGUCAGUCGAAGAUACCAGCUGGCUGCAACUGUUUAUUAAAAACACAGCACUGUGCAAACACGAAAGUGGACGUAUACGGUGUGACGCCUGCCCGGUGCCGGAAGGUUAAUUGAUGGGGUCAGCGCAAGCGAAGCUCCUGAUCGAAGCCCCGGUAAACGGCGGCCGUAACUAUAACGGUCCUAAGGUAGCGAAAUUCCUUGUCGGGUAAGUUCCGACCUGCACGAAUGGCGUAAUGAUGGCCAGGCUGUCUCCACCCGGGACUCAGUGAAAUUGAACUCGCUGUGAAGAUGCAGUGUACCCGCGGCAAGACGGAAAGACCCCGUGAACCUUUACUAUAGCUUGACACUGAACACUGGUCCUUGAUGUGCAGGAUAGGUGGGAGGCUUUGAAGUGUGGACGCCAGUCUGCAUGGAGCCGUCCUUGAAAUACCACCCUUUAAUGGCUGGUGUUCUAACGUAGACCCGUGAACCGGGUUGCGGACAGUGUCUGGUGGGUAGUUUGACUGGGGCGGUCUCCUCCUAAAGCGUAACGGAGGAGCACGAAGGUUGGCUAAUCCUGGUCGGACAUCAGGAGGUUAGUGCAAUGGCAUAAGCCAGCUUGACUGCGAGCGUGACGGCGCGAGCAGGUGCGAAAGCAGGUCAUAGUGAUCCGGUGGUUCUGAAUGGAAGGGCCAUCGCUCAACGGAUAAAAGGUACUCCGGGGAUAACAGGCUGAUACCGCCCAAGAGUUCAUAUCGACGGCGGUGUUUGGCACCUCGAUGUCGGCUCAUCACAUCCUGGGGCUGAAGUAGGUCCCAAGGGUAUGGCUGUUCGCCAUUUAAAGUGGUACGCGAGCUGGGUUUAGAACGUCGUGAGACAGUUCGGUCCCUAUCUGCCGUGGGCGCUGGAGAACUGAGGGGGGCUGCUCCUAGUACGAGAGGACCGGAGUGGACGCAUCACUGGUGUUCGGGUUGUCAUGCCAAUGGCACUGCCCGGUAGCUAAAUGCGGAAGAGAUAAGUGCUGAAAGCAUCUAAGCACGAAACUUGCCCCGAGAUGAGUUCUCCCUGAGACUACAAGUCUCCUGAAGGAACGUUGAAGACGACGACGUUGAUAGGCCGGGUGUGUAAGCGCAGCGAUGCGUUGAGCUAACCGGUACUAAUGAACCGUGAGGCUUAACCUUACAACGCCGAAG